GGGGAAUUAGGGUUCGAUUCCGGAGAGGGAGCCUGAGAAACGGCUACCACAUCCAAGGAAGGCAGCAGGCGCGCAAAUUACCCAAUCCCGACUCGGGAAGGUAGUGACAAUAAAUAACAAUUCGGGGCUCUUUUGGGUCCCGAGAUUGGAAUGAGYACAAUUUAAAACCUUUGACGAGGAACAAUUGGAGGGCAAGUCUGGUAUUAGCGGCCGCGGUAAUUCCAGCUCCAAUAGCGUAUAUUAGUGUUGUUGCGGUUAAAAAGCUCGUAGUUGAAUUUCGGGAUUGGGAUAUAUCGGUCGUGCCUUCAGGGGCAUGAAUUGGUGUAUGGUCAAUUCUUACCUUCUGGUGAAUUGGAAUGCUUUCGGGUGUUUUGAUGAACUAGGACAUUUACUUUGAAAAAAUUAGAGUGUUUAAAGCGGGCAUUUUUGCUUGAAUACAUUAGCAUGGAAUAAUAAAAUAGGACGAUGGUUCUAUUUUGUUGGUUUUAGGACCACGUAAUGAUUAAUAGGGAUAGUUGGGGGCAUUAGUAUUCAAUUGUCAGAGGUGAAAUUCUUGGAUUAAUUGAGGACUAACUACUGCGAAAGCAUUUGCCAAGGAUGUUUUCAUUAAUCAAGAACGAAAGUUAAGGGAUCAAAGACGAUUUAUGUACGUCGUAGUCUUAACCAUAAAUUAUGCCGACUARGAAUCAGACAAAGUUAAAUUUUUAACGACUUGUUUGGUACCUUACGGGAAACCAAAGUGUUUGGGUUC
rnacentral:rRNA from 1 species